rnacentral:other from 1 species
UGCGGCCUGCCUGAUUCGCGGACUGCGCACAUAUAACCCUACACUCGAUUGAAAGGGAGCCCUGUCUCCGCCUGGGGAUCGCAGACCUCCCGGCACGGCUUUGACCGGUUGCUGGAGGAAGGGAGCGUGAAGCAGGAGGGGGGGCACCCACCUGCUUAUUGGUAGCAGGUUAUUGAGUUGCGCGAUACGGUCGGGCGGGCCGCUU